rnacentral:lncRNA from 10 species
GUUAUUUUCACAACAUGACUUACAAAAAACUGGCAAAAAAAAUAUCAGACGUUGCCUAACAGGAAUAAUUAGAAACAGCGUCUUGCUUUAUUGCUCAGACUGUAGGGCAGUGAUGCAAUCAUAGCUCACUGCAGACUCCAACUCCUGGGCUCAAGUGAUCCUCCUGCCUCAACCUCCCAAGCAGCUGGACUACAGGUGUGUGCCACCACACCUGGCUAAUUUUUUGCAGAGACAGGUUCUCACUAUGUUGCUCACACUCAUCUUGAACUCCUGGCCUCAAGUGAUCCUCCCACCUGGGCCUCCCACAGUGUUGGGAUUACAGGACAAAUUACCUGUACUUUUGCCCUCCUAAGAUGCAUUCAGGUUGACAAUGAAAAUACUUACAUAAGUUUUCAGGAAAUAUUCUGUGCACAACAGCCAAGUUUUUUUGGAAUUAGAUGGAUGAGUCACACUAGCCAUACUCUGGAGCCUGGCAAUGUGAGGUUUUGAAAAAGCAUUCUUCAGUUUAGCUGAUACCAAAAAUGUUUGUGUUUUGUGCGGUUACUGGGAAUUUGCCUGCAGCCACUAAUCAGCUGAAUCUUUAAUCACCAUUUUGCUCUUUAUUGUUAGAAUGUGGAGGUAAAAUAUCAAGUGUAUGAUACCCCUAUCCUCUGACUUGAAUAUCACCAUUAUCCGUUUCCAAAUAGCAUUUCUAAAAGUAAGUUUUCUGUUUGUAAAUAUAAUACAUAAUCAUCAUAGAAAAUGCCAAUACAGAAACCAAAAAAUCAACACUUUAAAUCCUACUAAAGAUAGCCACUUAAUUUAGUAAACAUUCCAGAUACAUUUCUACACGCACCAAAAAAAAAAAAAAAAUGUACAAUUCUAUAUGAAUAUAGCUGACCAUGGUAUUUACAACCUGCUUUUUCUUCCUUUACUCAUAUGUCUCUAACUUUUUUUUUUAUGGCAAUGAAAACACUUUCCCUUCUAUGGUUUCAUUGUAUUUCAUCAAUUAAAUAAAUAUUGGCAUAUCUGUAGAAUCUCCACCAAUUUUAGGAUCCUUCCAAUUUUUUGCCACUACAUUCAAUGGAAAUUACAUUCCCACGCAUGCAUCUUUGUACAAUUGUGUGAUUGUGCAAUCAUCCAAUUAUCUCCUUAUGAGAAACUUCUAGGAUAAAUUGUUUUGAUGGGAUUUCUAGGUCAAAGAUUUGAAAAUUUUUGUUACAUCUUCUAAUUUAUGGUCAUAAAAGUUGUACUAACUUUACCUUUCCACAAAUACUCCAUGAAUAAAUUUAUUUUCUC